CAAGAAACUGAGAAGACGGAAGAGAGUUGGUGUUGUCAGUGUGGUGAGCCUAUGCGGCAACCACAAGGCUGAAGUCUGCUUUGAUCGUUGUUCAAGAUUUGAGCCUUGGCUCCGGUUUUGAUAGCUCUAUAUCAACUUUCAGCGAGUUUUUGUUCUCGGACUUGGGAUCCACAGUCCAAAGUUGAUUGGUGGAUCAAGUGAACUUGGUGCAUCUCCAUUCAAGCUGGAGUACAAUUACCAGCCUGCUUGUUUAGCGCAGUCUCCACAAUCAUACAAGCAAAUGAGCAUCUGUGGUGGCUUUGGGCGCGUGUUUGAGGCUGGUCCGGUAUUUAGAUCAGAAAAAUCAAACACUCACAGGCAUCUGUGUGAGUUUAUUGGGUUGGAUGCAGAAAUGGAGAUUAAGGAGCACUACUUUGAGGCAAGGAAGAUUUGGAGGAAAUAAUUCUUUAGUUUGUCUAUUGAAGCGAUGCUGACCAAGUACUGAUUUUUGUUUUCAGGUUUGUGAUAUCAUAGAUUGCUAAUUGUAGCAAUAUUCAAACACCCAAAUGAAAAUUGUCGGAAGGAACUCGAGACAAUAAAUAGGCAGUAUCCAUUUGAACCUCUGAAGUACCUAGAGAAAACGUUGAAGCUAACGUACGAGGAAGGGAUUAAAAUGCUCAAGGUACUAACAUGUACUUUUAUGUAUGUCUAUGAUAUCAUUAUUGUGGCGUUGUAUACAAUAUGCUCUUUUUUGUUGUUCUCACAGUAUGAUCGAUACUAGAACUUAAUAGCCCAAUUAUAUUGCAUGAAAGGCCUUUGUUGGAAAUGAUAAAACAGC